CUGGGAGUCAAAACUGGCUUCAUUUGGCUUCAUGGGAGUCAAAUUUUGGCUUCAAAAUUUGCAUGCGCAGUUUACUGAACGUAGCGUUCCAGUUAUUGUUAGUUCAAUGGGUUUUGUAGGUAUAAAACACGCGUGAUUCUUGCGUGGGCUCUGUCACGAGGAGUCAGAGCGGGAAAGUGUGUUUAUAUAUAUUUUCACAAGUACAAUUCAAAGACCAAGAAAUUUCGGGGUUUUUACUUGAAAUGCAUAAGAUUUUUGAACUUUUUUAACAGCAAUUUUAAUACAAAGUAUAUUUCUUGAUAAUAAGAUGUAAUCAAUCGAGUAUUAAAGUUUAUAUUUUAUGGAGCGACAUUGUUUUGCUUUAUUAAUAUACGGACUGAAAAGUCAAACGUUCCAACAGCAACGAAUUGGUUCAGUUUGGGCUAUAUUUGUGGACUCAGGCCGACGAAUCAUUAAUUAAAAGAUAAGUAUUGUAUUAUUUUACUCUUAUUUUACUCUUAUUUGCUAUAACUAUUGAUUUUUGAACAAGAUCGAUCUGCUUAAAUGGUGCCUGUCACUGGACAUUCCAUUCUGUAUGAUUGUAGAUAUAGAUAGAUAGAAAAAUUUUAUUUACCCAUUCUAACCCUGUUAACCGAAGCUGAUUUCCACAGCGGGCAUGUAGUGCUUCCCAUAUGUGAAGAGACGUAACGUAUAAAAUUUGUCUGCUGCCACUUUAUUAGAUUUACUUGGUGGUCAUCUGCAAUCAUAUUCAUAUCUUCGUUUGCACCUACUACCUAGCUCGUGGUCUGCAAACACAGAUUUGUUGCCAUCCAGGAGAAAAUGACGACAAACUUCCAGAAUCAUUUUGCUUUUUAGGUUCUUCAUGUUGUUGAUGCUGUUGUCUUUCUGGCAAACAUAUAUAUACAGCUUGAAGAUAUGUUCACAGUGUUCAAUUGUUGUGUAAACAGACUUUGAUUUGUAGUGUACUUGUUAUGGUUAAAUUAACCCAUUAAGUGCCAGCGCUAUCCCCUUGACAAGUGAAAUUGUCUGGCGUUAGAAAUAGUCUGGCGUUAGACAGAGUAAAAUAGUAAAGUAGCGUGCAAUGCGACUCAAUGGGCUAACCAGAGACGGAUUUUCAUAUUUUCGUUCAGGGGGGUGGAUAAAUAUCUGGGGGGGUGCUGCUGCUUGCUUUGGCCGGGGCGUGGUGGCAACGCCCGGAAAGGCCAAGGAAAAAGUUUAGCAAAAUUUGUUUUCUAGGCCUGCAUGGCGAGAUCUGAGACCAUAAUAUUGGUAAUUUUACAAAUUUAGUAGUAAGAAUAAUCAAAUAUGAA